rnacentral:rRNA from 1 species
UAUGAAGGGGGCUAGCGUUGCUCGGAAUCACUGGGCGUAAAGCGCACGUAGGCGGACUCUUAAGUCGGUGGUGAAAUCCUGGAGCUCAACUCCAGAACUGCCUUCGAUACUGGGAGUCUCGAGUCCGGGAGAGGUGAGUGGAACUGCGAGUGUAGAGGUGAAAUUCGUAGAUAUUCGCAAGAACACCAGUGGCGAAGGCGGCUCACUGGCCCGGUACUGACGCUGAGGUGCGAAAGCGUGGGGAGCAAACAGG